rnacentral:rRNA from 1 species
CACCCGGCUAACUACCGUGCCCAGCAGCCGCGGUAAUACGGACGGGUGCGAGCGUUAAUCGGAAUUACUGGGCGUAAAGCGCAUGCAGGCGGCUUGUUAAGUCAGAUGUGAAAGACCCGGGGCGUUAACCUCGGAAUUGCAUUUGAAACUGGCAGGCUAGAGUCUUGUAGAGGGGGGUAGGAAUUUACUAGGUGUAGCGGUGAAAUAGCGUAGAGAUCUGUAAGGAAUACCAGUGGCGAAGGCGGCCCCCCUCGGACAAAGACUGACGCUCAGAUGCGAAAGCGUGGGGGAGCAAACAGGAUUAGAUACCCCUGGUAG